CUUUAAAAUUAAGCUAUGAAGGAAUCUCAGCAGACAGGAUGUGACACGAUCACUGGAUUCAGACGUGCCUGGUUGCC